GGAUCUCCACCUGAUCCAAAGCAAGGCUGAGCUCUUUCCUUGGGAGGUGCCCAGACACUGAAUCCUCAUAAUUUUAAAUGAAAGGGAAUGAAUGAAGCCCCUGCAGAAAUGGCUUUCAGAACUGUGUUUUGUUUGUUCAGAUGAAGUGUAUUAGACGAUUCCUUUCCUAAUUGGCACUCUUGGUAGUCACAACUUCAGUCCUGCCUGACUAGUUCCUGACAAACAAGCCCUAAAUUACUUAAACCCAGCUCGAAGCUUUCUAGGAUGACCUUUUUCCAAGGAGUGUAGAUGAAUGGAGGAUGAAGCACAACAUUUUUAUCCUAUAUGGUAGUUUGAGACAGAGACUGACUGAAAAUUUCAUCCUAGCUACAAUCUGUCCCAUUUUUAAAAUUUUCUUUUUAGGUCACAAGACUUUAAAUUCCUUUUUAUGGUGAACUUAAAGGGGAAGACCAUAAACAUGAACUAUUGGAUAAACAUAAGAUUUUGGCAGCCACACUCUGAGCCCCUGUUUUUCCCCACGCAGCCUCCAUGUGUUUCCGCUGUGGACAUUUGAUCACGGGCAGAUCUGAAAUACGUCACGAGAUUUUGUAACUGCCUUACAUAAAGAAACGUCAGCUGACAUUUUAUCUGCUUUUGGUCACCAGCUGCAACUCACAUUAAGGCCUCCAGAAACUCAAAUUAUUUGUACUUACCACUCGGAAUUGGAAGCACCUGAAGAAAUACUGUGAGUUAAACUACUCAGGUCAGAACAAGAUCAAGACAAUGUACACCUCAGGAGAGACAAACUGGAGAAAUUCCUGCUUUAUUCAAAGUGAAAUUAGAUUAUUGGGAAGGAGACAUCACAUCAUAUUUUGUCUUGCCAAGACAUAUGACUCUAAGCAAAAGCAAAUCAUCUGGAAAUUCUUCAGAUACUUUUCUACUUUUUGAGACGACCAAUUAUGCAAUGGCAUAAAAACCUGGCCAGCUCACUGGGCUUAAAAUCCAGCCUCUGAGGGAAACUGUGCCCUGGAGAUGCUCAUCAGGAGAUAAAGCCUCGCUGGCUUUGACUCCUCUCCCUAGAAUAUGCAGUUAGAGAAAAUGUAUAAUGAUCAAAAUUACAGAAAUAGAAAAUAAUUAGGGCUCUACAAGCCCUGCAGUGGUUGUAAGAGCUGAGAGCCACGGCCCAGAGAAUUUAUAUGUGCAAGGAAAGACUUCCCAUGUCUCUUUUCGGUGCUGGAGCUGUGUCAGUCAUCCCUCUUCAGGAACGUCAUCCCUUUAUUAUUGCCAUUUGGAUGUUUUGGGGAACCUGAAGCCAGCCAGGUGCACCGUGUGCCUGCAGAAACAGCCCUUUGCCAAGAGCAGAACUGGUGAUCACAGGAUCCUUAGGGCUGGAAAAGACCUUGUAGUUCAUCAACUCCAAGCAUGAUUUGCAAGGGGAUGUGUUCUCACACAAGAGUGUUUGUUCCAGGAACUGAAGUGUUUGGGUUAGGGACUAACUCAUGGCUAGAUUAAUUACUGUUUUUACAAGUAAAGUGUGUGAAUUUAUGGUUCUUGUUAUUGUCCUUCACGCAACUCAUCCUAUAUAAUGAAUUUUGAUGGUGUUUCUUUGUGGAGCAGUUGUAAAUUUGGUUUAAUAUUGACAUGUCUCUCUUCCACUAUUUUUCUGUUUAUCCAGAGGCAGUCCUGACUAUACUUUGGGAUGUAUUUCUCAUCCUGACCUCUGGUGUAGAGGAGAUAAAUCAUACAAGCCCAACAGAAAACAAUCAGCUUGUCUGUUCAGUGGUUUCCAGCAGCUGUGGAAACUCUGUGCUGGUUGCCCCUCUGUUCAUUAAGUAAAUGAGGGCUUUGCAGUGUUCUGGCGGUGUGUGUUAUUUUGGAGUUUCGUUUCAGAUGGCAUUCUUCUGGGGAUUGUUUUGGACAGAGUUGCCAGCAACCUAGGGCCAGUGGGCUGGAGGCCAGGUUUGGUGGAAAUAGCAGGGUUUAUAUCACCAGCACAGAGCUCUGUCUGGGAAGCUAAUUUUGGGCUGGUGCUUCUUUGAGGCAUCAGCAGUUCCUGUGUGUGACUGGUUCCAGCCAUCACAAAGGCUGUCACAGCCUUGGGCAGGCCAUCAGUGGUGCCCAGGCCAGCAGCCAGUGUCUGGGCUGGUGGGAAUCACAGUUCCCUGCUGUUCCAUGGAGCUUUUCUGUGCCUGCAGCUCUGUAAGGGGUCCCAUUCUGGGGGAAGAACACCUGACUCUGUGCAAUACCUGUGUUUCCUCUUGAUUCGAUUUCUGUGGGAAGGGCCUGAGUUGCCAUGCAAAGAACUCCCCGUGGCUCCUCUCACCACAAACACACUCCUCCACCCUCUCCCCUGGACUCCCUGAACUGGGAUCAUCCGGGGUCGGGCCCAUGUGGGGUGGCUGGGAAUAGAAGUGUGGAUGUGGCCAGAGAGACCUUGUGAACUUCCACUGGCUGAACGCCUGUGAAAGGCCGGAGUUCCUGCCCAGAUCAAUCAAAUAUGGAUUGUUCCACACAAAAUAAUUCUGAAGUGUUGCAACUUAGCUCCUGGGGAUUUUAAAUGUUUAUAGACUUUCCAGAGGGUAGGAAAGCGGGGAAAUAUUUACGUGUAGAUAAUUUCUGUUAUACUUGAGCAAUAGGAAUGCUGGUCCCCUUGCCCAAGACUCCUUGCUCCCUGCUCUGCAGCACUAAUGAAUGUAAAUGAGUAAAAGGAGGCCUGUGAGCAAUGCUGAGUGGAGAAAAAGCCCCCAGCAAAUGCAAAGCACAGCAGGAAUCACCAGAUAACCACCUUACAUCCUUUUCUGUGUGCUGCACCCACUGCGCGUGCAAUAUUUUCAUAUCAGGUGAUUUGUUAGCUGCUCCAAAACAAGUCUCUGCAGCCCCAUGGAGAUUUACAUUGCAAUGAUUUAGAUGCUCUACUUAUCCUUGGGCUGGAAUAUUUUGCCAAUUGCCAAUUACCUAGAAGUCCUCCUCAGCACAAGGCAGUGCAAGAUCAGUGUGAAAUAAAGAACUUACGCACAGCAUCAGAAUCUGGACAGUUAAAAUGUUCAUGGUGGGCAGGAGUGAGACAAGCCUAUCUGCAGAACUCCUCAGAUCCAAUGGUUUCAUAUACUGCUGGAUAACACUUACCUAACUUGGAACCACCUCCUAUGCAAAAAACCCUAUAUGACUUCAGGCUUGCAGUCAUCAAAAAUUGUGUUGAUUGAGAUAACGUGUUUCAUUCCAUACCCUUGGGCUGUUUGGAUUUCAUCCAGGUGAACAUUUCAAAACAUCCCCUUCCCAGGUGUUCUGAUUCCAACCUAAUUAGGAAGGUGAUUUUAAUUUUACUCUUUCUCAGCUGUU